GACAGAGGGUGCAAACGUUUGUUCGGAAAUUACUGGGCGUAAAGCGCGUGGUAGGCGGCUACGUGUGUCGGGCGUGAAAGCCCACGGCUCAACCGUGGAAGUGCACCGAAACUGCGUAGCUAGAGUCCUGGAGAGGAAGGUGGAAUGCUUGGUGUGAGAGGUGAAAUUCGUAGAUAAUCAAGCGGAACACCGGUGGCGAAGGCGGGUCUCUGGGCCGUAACUGACGCUGAGGAGCGAAAGCAUGGG
rnacentral:rRNA from 1 species